rnacentral:rRNA from 1 species
AUUGAACGCUGGCGGCAGGCCUAACACAUGCAAGUCGAACGAGUGGCGGACGGGUGAGUAAUGUCUGUGAAACUGCCCGCUGGCGGGGGAUAACUACUGGAAACGGUAGCUAAUACCGCAUACCAUCGGAUGUGCCCAGAUGGGCUUAGCUAGUAGGUGGGGUAAAGGCUCACCUAGGCGACGAUCCCUAGCUGGUCUGAGAGGAUGACAAGCCCCAAUGGAACUGAGAAACGGUCCAGACUCCUACGGGAGGCAGCAGUGGGGAAUAUUGCACAAUGGGCGCAAGCCUGAUGCAGCCAUGCCGCGUGUAUGAAGAAGGCCUUCGGGUUGUAAAGUACUUUCAGCGGGGAGGCGUUACCCGCAGAAGAAGCACCGGCUAACUCCGUGCCAGCAGCCGCGGUAAUUC